GACGAACGCUGGCGGCGUGCUUAACACAUGCAAGUCGAACGGAAAGGCCCUGCUUUUGUGGGGUGCUCGAGUGGCGAACGGGUGAGUAACACGUGAGUAACCUGCCCUUGACGUUGGGAUAACUUCAGGAAACUGGGGCUAAUACCGGAUAGGAGCUCCUGCUGCAUGGUGGGGGUUGGAAAGUUUCGGCGGUUGGGGAUGGACUCGCGGCUUAUCAGCUUGUUGGUGGGGUAGUGGCUUACCAAGGCUUUGACGGGUAGCCGGCCUGAGAGGGUGACCAGCCACAUUAGGACUGAGAGACGCCCCAGUCUCCUACGGUAGGCAGCAGUGGAGAAUAUUGCACAAUGGGCGCAAGCCUGAUGCGGCGGCGCCGCGUGCGUGAUGACGGCCUUCGGGUUGUAAACCGCUUUCGCCUGUGACGAAGCGUGAGUGACGGUAAUGAGUAAAGAAGCACCGGCUAACUACGUG
rnacentral:rRNA from 1 species